rnacentral:rRNA from 1 species
AUGGCUUACUAACCUCGGCAGGUAACGGGCGGCGACGCCGGCCUGGACCACCUGCAGCGGCUCUUCCUGGACGCCGGCCGGGUCUCCGUGCUAGCCGGCUGCCUCGUGGUGACUUGUAACAUCUUCAACCCGGCUGCGAACCCCACACACGUCUUCCUCGGCUUCAUGCUGCUGCUCCUCGGCGUCUUCCUGCUCACGUUCUCGCCCGCCGCCUACCAGUUCCUCUGGGUUCCCCAGGUUGGCGCCUUCCUUGCAAAAGCCGUGGUGAGCCACCGGCUCCUAUUCUCUCUGCGUGAGAAUGUAAAUCUGCGACUUCCCGUCUGUAGUGUCACCGUCGUUCACUUUCAGUGUACCUGUAUUGGGAUGUGA